rnacentral:rRNA from 1 species
GGUUAAGCGACUAAGCGUACACGGUGGAUGCCCUGGCAGUCAGAGGCGAUGAAGGACGUGCUAAUCUGCGAUAAGCGUCGGUAAGGUGAUAUGAACCGUUAUAACCGGCGAUUUCCGAAUGGGGAAACCCAGUGUGUUUCGACACACUAUCAUUAACUGAAUCCAUAGGUUAAUGAGGCGAACCGGGGGAACUGAAACAUCUAAGUACCCCGAGGAAAAGAAAUCAACCGAGAUUCCCCCAGUAGCGGCGAGCGAACGGGGAGCAGCCCAGAGCCUGAAUCAGUAUGUGUGUUAGUGGAAGCGUCUGGAAAGGCGCGCGAUACAGGGUGACAGCCCCGUACACAAAAAUGCACAUAUUGUGAGCUCGAUGAGUAGGGCGGGACACGUGGUAUCCUGUCUGAAUAUGGGGGGACCAUCCUCCAAGGCUAAAUACUCCUGACUGACCGAUAGUGAACCAGUACCGUGAGGGAAAGGCGAAAAGAACCCCGGCGAGGGGAGUGAAAAAGAACCUGAAACCGUGUACGUACAAGCAGUGGGAGCACGCUUAGGCGUGUGACUGCGUACCUUUUGUAUAAUGGGUCAGCGACUUAUAUUCUGUAGCAAGGUUAACCGAAUAGGGGAGCCGAAGGGAAACCGAGUCUUAACUGGGCGUUAAGUUGCAGGGUAUAGACCCGAAACCCGGUGAUCUAGCCAUGGGCAGGUUGAAGGUUGGGUAACACUAACUGGAGGACCGAACCGACUAAUGUUGAAAAAUUAGCGGAUGACUUGUGGCUGGGGGUGAAAGGCCAAUCAAACCGGGAGAUAGCUGGUUCUCCCCGAAAGCUAUUUAGGUAGCGCCUCGUGAACUCAUCUCCGGGGGUAGAGCACUGUUUCGGCAAGGGGGUCAUCCCGACUUACCAACCCGAUGCAAACUGCGAAUACCGGAGAAUGUUAUCACGGGAGACACACGGCGGGUGCUAACGUCCGUCGUGAAGAGGGAAACAACCCAGACCGCCAGCUAAGGUCCCAAAGUCAUGGUUAAGUGGGAAACGAUGUGGGAAGGCCCAGACAGCCAGGAUGUUGGCUUAGAAGCAGCCAUCAUUUAAAGAAAGCGUAAUAGCUCACUGGUCGAGUCGGCCUGCGCGGAAGAUGUAACGGGGCUAAACCAUGCACCGAAGCUGCGGCAGCGACACUAUGUGUUGUUGGGUAGGGGAGCGUUCUGUAAGCCUGUGAAGGUGUGCUGUGAGGCAUGCUGGAGGUAUCAGAAGUGCGAAUGCUGACAUAAGUAACGAUAAAGCGGGUGAAAAGCCCGCUCGCCGGAAGACCAAGGGUUCCUGUCCAACGUUAAUCGGGGCAGGGUGAGUCGACCCCUAAGGCGAGGCCGAAAGGCGUAGUCGAUGGGAAACAGGUUAAUAUUCCUGUACUUGGUGUUACUGCGAAGGGGGGACGGAGAAGGCUAUGUUGGCCGGGCGACGGUUGUCCCGGUUUAAGCGUGUAGGCUGGUUUUCCAGGCAAAUCCGGAAAAUCAAGGCUGAGGCGUGAUGACGAGGCACUACGGUGCUGAAGCAACAAAUGCCCUGCUUCCAGGAAAAGCCUCUAAGCAUCAGGUAACAUCAAAUCGUACCCCAAACCGACACAGGUGGUCAGGUAGAGAAUACCAAGGCGCUUGAGAGAACUCGGGUGAAGGAACUAGGCAAAAUGGUGCCGUAACUUCGGGAGAAGGCACGCUGAUAUGUAGGUGAAGUCCCUCGCGGAUGGAGCUGAAAUCAGUCGAAGAUACCAGCUGGCUGCAACUGUUUAUUAAAAACACAGCACUGUGCAAACACGAAAGUGGACGUAUACGGUGUGACGCCUGCCCGGUGCCGGAAGGUUAAUUGAUGGGGUCAGCGCAAGCGAAGCUCUUGAUCGAAGCCCCGGUAAACGGCGGCCGUAACUAUAACGGUCCUAAGGUAGCGAAAUUCCUUGUCGGGUAAGUUCCGACCUGCACGAAUGGCGUAAUGAUGGCCAGGCUGUCUCCACCCGAGACUCAGUGAAAUUGAACUCGCUGUGAAGAUGCAGUGUACCCGCGGCAAGACGGAAAGACCCCGUGAACCUUUACUAUAGCUUGACACUGAACAUUGAGCCUUGAUGUGUAGGAUAGGUGGGAGGCUUAGAAGUGUGGACGCCAGUCUGCAUGGAGCCGACCUUGAAAUACCACCCUUUAAUGUUUGAUGUUCUAACGUUGACCCGUAAUCCGGGUUGCGGACAGUGUCUGGUGGGUAGUUUGACUGGGGCGGUCUCCUCCUAAAGAGUAACGGAGGAGCACGAAGGUUGGCUAAUCCUGGUCGGACAUCAGGAGGUUAGUGCAAUGGCAUAAGCCAGCUUGACUGCGAGCGUGACGGCGCGAGCAGGUGCGAAAGCAGGUCAUAGUGAUCCGGUGGUUCUGAAUGGAAGGGCCAUCGCUCAACGGAUAAAAGGUACUCCGGGGAUAACAGGCUGAUACCGCCCAAGAGUUCAUAUCGACGGCGGUGUUUGGCACCUCGAUGUCGGCUCAUCACAUCCUGGGGCUGAAGUAGGUCCCAAGGGUAUGGCUGUUCGCCAUUUAAAGUGGUACGCGAGCUGGGUUUAGAACGUCGUGAGACAGUUCGGUCCCUAUCUGCCGUGGGCGCUGGAGAACUGAGGGGGGCUGCUCCUAGUACGAGAGGACCGGAGUGGACGCAUCACUGGUGUUCGGGUUGUCAUGCCAAUGGCACUGCCCGGUAGCUAAAUGCGGAAGAGAUAAGUGCUGAAAGCAUCUAAGCACGAAACUUGCCCCGAGAUGAGUUCUCCCUGACCCUUUAAGGGUCCUGAAGGAACGUUGAAGACGACGACGUUGAUAGGCCGGGUGUGUAAGCGCAGCGAUGCGUUGAGCUAACCGGUACUAAUGAACCGUGAGGCUUAACCUU